rnacentral:rRNA from 1 species
GAUGAACGCUGGCGGCGUGCCUAAUACAUGCAAGUCGAGCGAACAGACGAGGAGCUUGCUCCUCUGACGUUAGCGGCGGACGGGUGAGUAACACGUGGAUAACCUACCUAUAAGACUGGGAUAACUUCGGGAAACCGGAGCUAAUACCGGAUAACAUGUUGAACCGCAUGGUUCAACAGUGAAAGACGGUCUUGCUGUCACUUAUAGAUGGAUCCGCGCCGCAUUAGCUAGUUGGUAAGGUAACGGCUUACCAAGGCAACGAUGCGUAGCCGACCUGAGAGGGUGAUCGGCCACACUGGAACUGAGACACGGUCCAGACUCCUACGGGAGGCAGCAGUAGGGAAUCUUCCGCAAUGGGCGAAAGCCUGACGGAGCAACGCCGCGUGAGUGAAGAAGGUCUUCGGAUCGUAAAACUCUGUUAUUAGGGAAGAACAAUUGUGUAAGUAACUAUGCACGUCUUGACGGUACCUAAUCAGAAAGCCACGGCUAACUACG